rnacentral:rRNA from 1 species
AUACGGAGGGUGCAAGCGUUGUUCGGAAUUACUGGGCGUAAAGCGCGUGUAGGCGGCUUGGAAAGUCGGAUGUGAAAGCCCGAGGCUCAACCUCGGAACUGCAUUCGAAACUUCCAGGCUAGAGUCCUGGAGAGGAUGGUGGAAUUCCCAGUGUAGAGGUGAAAUUCGUAGAUAUUGGGAGGAACACCAGUGGCGAAGGCGGCCAUCUGGACAGUGACUGACGCUGAGACGCGAAAGCGUGGGGAGCAAACAGGAUUAGAAACCCCGGUAGUCC